AUUGAACGCUGGCGGCAUGCUUUACACAUGCAAGUCGAACGGUAACAGGCCGCAAGGUGCUGACGAGUGGCGAACGGGUGAGUAAUGCAUCGGAACGUGCCCAGUCGGGGGGGAUAACGCAGCGAAAGCUGUGCUAAUACCGCAUGCGAUCUAUGGAUGCAAGAGGGGGAGCGUAAGGCCUCGGUGGGUUGGAGCGGCCGAUGGCAGAUUAGGUAGUUGGGGGGGUAAAGGCUCACCAAGCCAACGAUCUGUAGCUGGUCUGAGAGGACGACCAGCCACACUGGGACUGAGACACGGCCCAGACUCCUACGGGAGGCAGCAGUGGGGAAUUUUGGACAAUGGGCGCAAGCCUGAUCCAGCAAUGCCGCGUGCAGGAAGAAGGCCUUCGGGUUGUAAACUGCUUUUGUACGGAACGAAAAGGUUUGGGUUAAUACCCUGGGCCGAUGACGGUACCGUAAGAAUAAGCACCGGCUAACUACGUGCCAGCCGCCGCGGUAA
rnacentral:rRNA from 1 species